rnacentral:rRNA from 1 species
AGCAGUAGCCACGGUAAUACGAAGGGUGCAAGCGUUACUCGGAAUUACUGGGCGUAAAGCGUGCGUAGGUGGUGGUUUAAGUCCGUUGUGAAAGCCCUGGGCUCAACCUGGGAAUUGCAGUGGAUACUGGGUCACUAGAGUGUGGUAGAGGAUAGUGGAAUUUCCGGUGUAGCAGUGAAAUGCGUAGAGAUCGGAAGGAACAUCUGUGGCGAAGGCGACUAUCUGGGCCAACACUGACACUGAGGCACGAAAGCGUGGGGAGCAAACAGGAUUAGAUACCCCUGUAGUCCCUGUCUCUUAUAC